rnacentral:lncRNA from 1 species
GAAACUCAUAGGAGUAAAACUAAUAGAGCAUAACAAACCUCAUCAUUUUUUUGAGGUUCCUCUUGUAUGAGAAUCUAGCAGAGAGUUUCAUGUAGUGUUUUUGUGAGGUACGAAGUAGGUGUCCCGAGCAACAUCAAUCAUUUUCGAGAUUAGAAGCGGGAAUAGUUUGGUUAAAAGUCUGUCCAAAAUCAAUAAGUUUUUUUUUUUCCUUAUUAUAACCUAAGUAUGUGAGAAAUGUUAGGGACAAAUUAAAAUAAAAGCAAAACAUAAUACCUGCAGUUUCAAAAUUUAUACUCAUGAUAUUGCACAAAUGAUGGACAAGGGAGAACGUAAUUGGGUGAUUACAACUUUCGUUUGAGAGAGAGUGUCUAUUUUAAAACGUUGGUGACAGGGCAGCCAAAUAUAGACAAUUAGACAUUGCAUCUCUAUUAGCAUCAAAGCCUUUGUCAGCAUGAAAAUGGAAGAAUUAGUGCAUAG